GAUGAACGCUGGCGGCGUGCCUCAAACAUGCAAGUCGAGCGGGGCUAUGUAAUAUCGCAAGGUAGAACAUAGCCUAGCGGCGAACGGGUGAGUAACACGUGGGUAACCUGCCUGGAAGACAGGGAUAACGAUUCGAAAGGGUCGCUAAUACCUGAUAAUAUCCUUUCAUCGCAUGGUGAUAGGAAGAAAGGGGAAACCCGCUUUCAGAUGGGCCCGCGUCCCAUCAGCUAGUUGGUAAGGUAAAGGCUUACCAAGGCGACGACGGGUAGCCGGUCUGAGAGGAUGUACGGCCACACUGGGACUGAGAUACGGCCCAGACUCCUACGGGAGGCAGCAGUGGGGAAUUUUGGACAAUGGGGGCAACCCUGAUCCAGCCAUGCCGCGUGAGUGAAGAAGGCCUUCGGUUGUAAAGCUCUUUCGGUCCGGGAAAAAGUACGCAUCAGUUAAUAACCUGGUGUGGAUGAUGGUACCGGAAUAAGAAGACACCGGCGUAACUACGUGCCAGCAGCCGCGGUAAG
rnacentral:rRNA from 1 species